rnacentral:rRNA from 1 species
UAAUAUACUAUUUUAGUGUGGAGUGAAUGCCUUGGAAGAAAAAUAUAGGCGCGGACAAUCGCGAAAGUGUUGACACGAGGAAAGCCUGUGACGUCAACCAACCUAAAAUGGGAAACCGGGGCUAAAAAGCCCGCUGCUUAGGCAGUAUCAAGGGGAAGUGAAACAUCUCAGUACCCUGUAGACCAAAUCAACCGAGAUAUCGUUAGUAGUGGUGAGCGAAAGCGAUAAAAAGGCAAAACGAAAAUUUUAUUAUUAAGAAUGAAAAGAAGUUUUGUUUUUCAAUGAAAUUUCUACCUUAGAAGGUGUUAGUCCUGUAAUUCUUUUUUUUUUCGUGAAAGUAAGACGAGGCAAGUUUACCUUGUCUGAGUAUUGGGGGACCACCCUCAAAGCCUAUAGUUAUUUUUCUUACCGAUAGUGAACAAGUACCGUGAGGGAAAGGUGAAAAAGAAGUUGCGACAGUGCAAAGAUCCUGAAACUCCAUAUUUGAGUCGGAGCUAUAAAAAGCAACGGCAUACCUUUUGUAUAAUGGGCAAGUGAAUCUUAAUAAAGGGCAAGCUUAAGCUAAUAAAAGUGUAGGCGAAGAGAAAUCGAGUCCUAUGUGGCAUCCUAAAGUCCUUUGUUAAGUACCCGAAACCGGCUGAUCUAAACUUGAGCAGGCUGAUAUUGUAGUGGCAACAUUCUUUGGAGGGCCGAACCCGUGUAUGUGGCAAAAUACUGGGAUGACUUGAGUUUAGGGGUGAAAGGCCAAUCAAAGUCGGUGAUAGCUGGAUUUCUGCGAAAUCUAUUGAAGUAGAGCGUCCUAAACAGUAAAUCUGGGGUAGAGCACUGUAUAAGCAAGGGGGAGAUCUUCUCUUACUAAACUUUGGCAAACUCCGAAUACAGAUUUUUCAUUUAGGGCAGACAGAGUAUGUAUGCUAAGAUUCAUACUCAAGAGGGAAACAGCCCAGACUGUAGGCUAAGGUCCACAAAAUAGUUUCAGUGGUAAAGGUGAUAUCUGCUCUGAGACCGUCAGGAGGUAGGCUUGGAAGCAGCCAUCCUUUUAAGACAGCGUAACAGCUCACUGACCUAGAGUAGAAGUCCCGCCAAUUUUGAGGGCUUAAAACUAUUACCGAAGCCUCAGACAAAAAUGUUAAGAUAAUUAAAAACUCUUAUAUUUUGUGGUAGCAGAACAUUCCGUAGGUCGUAGAAGUUUUGACGUAAGUUAAGAUCAAGAUAUCGGAAGCGAGAAUACUUGCAUGAGUAGCAUAAAACAAUGAAAUUAAAGCAUUGUGGCCGUAAGUCCAAGGUUUACGAUCUUAAGUAAAACUGGGUCGUGAGAGGGUAACACCUCGAUUUAAAACGGUCCCUAAGCUGUUAAGCCAAAGCUUGCAGUAAUGGGUAAGAUUAAACUGUUAAAAGUUGCUGACGAAAAAUUCACCUUAUUCUUGAAUUUGUCAAGAGUGAGUUAUUUUUUCCAAGAAAAAGGCACUUUAUUUAUACCGUACCUUAAACCGCCUCAGGUGGACGGGUGGAGAACACUAAGGCCUUGAGAUAACCCUGUUGAAGGAACUCGGCAAAAUGACUCUGUAACUUCGGAAUAAGGAGUAAAGGCAUGUAGCGCAAGCUUUUGUCUUUGUCACAAAAUCGGGGGUGGCGACUGUUUAUUAAAAACACAGGUCUCUGCUAACUCGUAAGAGGAUGUAUAGGGACUGACACCUGCCCGGUGCCGGUAGGUGAAGCUUUGAUGUUUACGCAUUGAGGUCAAACCCCGGUAAACGGCGGCUGUAACUAUGACGGUCCUAAGGUAGCGAAAUUCCUUGUCGGGUAAGUUCCGACCCGCAUGAAUGGUGUAACGACUUCCCCGCUGUCUCCAACAGGGACUCAGUGAAAUUACAUAGGUCGUGAAGAUGCGACCAUCCCACAGCUGGACGGAAAGACCCCGUGCACCUUUACUAUAAGCAAAUAUUGUAGGUCAAAGACUCUAGUGUAGAAUAGGUGGGAGCUUAUGAUUCUUUCUCGUCAGAGUCUGAUGAGGCGAUAGUGAAAUACCACCCCGAGAUCUGUUGGCUUACUAACUAAGGGACAGUGUUUGCUGGGUAGUUUGACUGGGGCGGUCGCCUCCUAAAGAGUAACGGAGGCAUACAAAGGUAGGUUCAUCUCCUUCUAAGGGGAAUUGAGUAUAAUGGUAUAAACCUGCUUGACUGAAAGAAAGACAUUUCGAUCAGAGACGUAAGUCGGUCAUAGUGAUCCGGUGGUUCUUUGUGGAAAGGCCAUCGCGCAAUGGAUAAAAGGUACGCCGGGGAUAACAGGCUAAUGAUCCUCUAGAGCCCCUAUCGACGGGUUCGUUUGGCACCUCGAUGUCGACUCAUCACAUCCUGGAGCUGGAAAAGGUUCCAAGGGUUCGGCUGUUCGCCGACGAAAGUGGUACGUGAGUUGGGUUUAGAACGUCGUGAGACAGUUUGGUCCCUAUCUUCUGUGGGUGUUUGAAAAUUCCGAGGACUAGACCUUAGUACGAGAGGACCGGGAAAACUCGAUCCCUUGUGUUCCGGUUGUUCCCUAAGGGGCAUCGCCGGGUAGCUACAUCGAGAAGAGAUAAUCGACCGUUAGGCGAGAAACUCUCCUCUAGUAAAGUUUUCUAAAGGGGGUGGAAGAUUACCACUUUGAUAGGCGGGAGGUGUAAGAGCUGUAAGGUUUUCAGCUGACCCGUACUAAUCCCUAGAAAAAUAAAAUUAUAUAGUUUUUGC